UGGGUACAAGCGAAGAGUCUCUGUGGUUACCGCAUGCAAGUAAUGUAACCUCCCCAACGAAUCAUAUGUCAAAAGUUCCGCAAACUGUAUUACUCUUUGAUUGAACGAUUUGGGAUCUUCUGCGUUGUGCUGAACCAAGUGGAUCGAUGAAACGAAGUGUCAUGAUGAUGUUUGCUGUGUCGAAUGCCUUAGCAAAAGGAUUAUCUGGUAUAUUGGGAGCCAAACUCCCUAUUUCUACUCCAAAUCCCACCUUACAUAUGGAGUCCAAUGUCAUUCGCAUGAACAAUUCCUACGAAGUAGAGAAAUUUGAAUCACAACUGUUAUGCAGAACAAAAUAGAUAUGAAAUAAAUUUCUCGAAAUUCGUAUUGCAUCACCUGCAUGUCUACUUCUUGGUUGUUGAAUGAUGCUUCACUGAGAAUACUAGAGAGCUUCAUGCUGUAUUCUCUAAAGACUACAGUGCUAAAAUCCCUGAGAUUCUUCGAUGCAAACUCGAAACUUGCAGUCUUCCUCUGUUUUCUCCAAAGCUCACCGUCGACAUUGAAGAUCCCAUCUCCAAGCAGAACCUCCAUAUAUGAAUGGAGUACAGAACAAGGAGUCUUUCACUCUUUUGUCGUCACAAAUUGAUCAAUGUCAGUUUUAAUUGUACCUUGGGGUAAUUGGCAAAGUUGGUCUUGAGGACAUGUUCAACAUUAGCAGGAUCUGCGAUGUAAGUGUAGGUCGUCGAUGACAUUGGCAUGACUGAGAGUU